GGGACACGUGGUAUCCUGUCUGAAUAUGGGGGGACCAUCCUCCAAGGCUAAAUACUCCUGACUGACCGAUAGUGAACCAGUACCGUGAGGGAAAGGCGAAAAGAACCCCGGCGAGGGGAGUGAAAAAGAACCUGAAACCGUGUACGUACAAGCAGUGGGAGCACCUUCGGGUGUGACUGCGUACCUUUUGUAUAAUGGGUCAGCGACUUAUAUUCUGUAGCAAGGUUAACCGUAUAGGGGAGCCGCAGGGAAACCGAGUCUUAACUGGGCGUUAAGUUGCAGGGUAUAGACCCGAAACCCGGUGAUCUAGCCAUGGGCAGGUUGAAGGUUGGGUAACACUAACUGGAGGACCGAACCGACUAAUGUUGAAAAAUUAGCGGAUGACUUGUGGCUGGGGGUGAAAGGCCAAUCAAACCGGGAGAUAGCUGGUUCUCCCCGAAAGCUAUUUAGGUAGCGCCUCGUGAACUCAUCUUCGGGGGUAGAGCACUGUUUCGGCUA
rnacentral:rRNA from 1 species